AUUGAACGCUGGCGGCAAGCCUAACACAUGCAAGUCGAACGAGUGGCGGACGGGUUAGUAAUGUCUGGGAAUCUGCCUGAUGGAGGGGGAUAACUCCUGGAAACGGUAGCUAAUACCGCAUACCAUCGGAUGCGCCCAUAUGGGAUGAGCUAGUAGGUUGGGUAAAGGCUCACCUAGGCGACGAUCCCUAGCUGGUCUGAGAGGAUGAUAAGCCACACUGAAACUGAGACACGGUCCAGACUCCUACGGGAGGCAGCAGUGGGGAAUAGUGCACAAUGGGCGCAAGCCUGAUGCAGCCAUGCCGCGUGUAUGAAGAAGGCCUUCGGGUUGUAAAGUACUUUCAGCGGGGAGGGGUUACCCGCAGAAGAAGCACCGGGUAACUCCGUGCCAGCAGCCGCGGUAAUUC
rnacentral:rRNA from 1 species